UGAAAAUCUUUAGCUCAGUUGGAGGGUAGAGUGUCUGCUUUAUAUGCACAAGGUCCCAGGUUCAAAACCCAUCAUGUUCAA